CCCGCACAAGCGGUGGAGCAUGUGGUUUAAUUCGAUGAUACGCGAGGAACCUUACCAGGGCUUAAAUGUAGAUUGACAGAUUUGGAAACAGAUUUUUCUUCGGACAAUUUACAAGGUGCUGCAUGGUUGUCGUCAGCUCGUGCCGUGAGGUGUCAGGUUAAGUCCUAUAACGAGCGCAACCCCUGUCGUUAGUUGCCAGCGAGUCAUGUCGGGAACUCUAACGAGACUGCCAGUGCAAACUGAGAGGAAGGUGGGGAUGACGUCAAAUCAUCACGGCCCUUACGCCCUGGGCUACACACGUGCUACAAUGGCCAGUACAGAGGGCUGCGAAGCCGUAAGGUGGAGCGAAUCCCUUAAAGCUGGUCUCAGUUCGGAUUGGGGUCUGCAACUCGACCCCAUGAAGUCGGAGUCGCUAGUAAUCGCAGAUCAGCAACGCUGCGGUGAAUACGUUCCCGGGCCUUGUACACACCGCCCGUCACGUCAUGAAAGUCGGUAACACCCGAAGCCAGUGGCCUAACCCUUGUGGAGGGAGCUGUCGAAGGUGGGAUCGGCGAUUGGGACGAAGUCGUAACAAGGUAGCCGUAAAGGG
rnacentral:rRNA from 1 species